rnacentral:lncRNA from 1 species
UAACGGGUUGAAACCUGAUCUUGUAACGUAUUCUGUUCUCAUCCAUGGGCUUUGUAAGCAAGGAGAAGUACAGCAAGCUAUUCAUGUAUACAAUAAGAUGUGUUGUAAUGGAAUAUCUCCAAGCUCUUUAGAACAUUGUGCUAUUUUGAGGAGUUUUAGGGAUAAAGGGAUGAUACAUGAAGCUAGGACAUACUUCAAUUCUUUGCUGGCUGCUGAUGACUGUAGAUUGGAUAUUGUUCUGUAUAAUGUCAUGAUCGAUGCUUACGGGAAACAUGGAGAUAUCGAGGAGGCCCUGCAGUUGUACAGACAAAUAACUGAGAAGGGUAUAUUUCCCAGCGUAGUGACUUUCAAUUCCCUUAUUUAUGGACUAUGUGCUAAUGGAAUGAUUGAUCAGGCUAUAAACUUGUUACAUACUAUCAAGCUGUAUGGAUUGGUGCCAAACGCAGUAACUUACACGACGAUUAUGAACGUGUACGCUGAAGGCGGAGAUCUGCUGAAUGUUCUGGCAUUGCUGCAGGAGAUGAGGAGAAACAACGUGAAACCAUCUCACAUCACUUACACCGUGCUGAUAAAA